AUUGAACGCUGGCGGAAUGCUUUACACAUGCAAGUCGAACGGCAGCACGGACUUCGGCCUGGUGGCGAGUGGCGAACGGGUGAGUAAUGUAUCGGAACGUGCCCAGUCGUGGGGGAUAACGUAGUGAAAAUUACGCUAAUACCGCAUACGAUCUAUGGAUGAAAGCGGGGGAUCGCAAGACCUCGCGCGAUUGGAGCGGCCGAUAUCAGAUUAGGUAGUUGGUGGGGUAAAGGCCCACCAAGCCAACGAUCUGUAGCUGGUCUGAGAGGACGACCAGCCACACUGGACCUGAGGACCGGUCCAGACUCCUCCGGGAGGCAGCAGUGGGGAAUUUUGGACAAUGGGCGAAAGCCUGAUCCAGCCAUUCCGCGUGCAGGAUGAAGGCCCUCGGGUUGUAAACUGCUUUUGUACAGAACGAAAAGGUUUCUACUAAUACUAGGAGCUCAUGACGGUACUGUAAGAAUAAGCACCGGCUAACUACGUGCCAGCCGCCGCAGUAA
rnacentral:rRNA from 1 species